rnacentral:lncRNA from 1 species
CCCAUCAUCAACAGUGUUAGCUUUCCCUCUCUAAUCUCGUUCUGUUGCUUUCCUUCCAAUAGAUCUCUAAAAAAGAGAAUGCCAACCUCCUCCCCACUCUCCUCACUGUCACAUCCCGCCAGUCUCUGCCAUUACCUUCUUCCCCACCCCAUCAUCAUUAGUGUCGGCUUUCCCCCUCCAAUCUUCCUCUGGUGCUUUCCUUCCCUC